CUUCGUAAUCGGGCACCUUAUCACCCCCUCAUCAAUACGAUAACACCACACACUGUUCGUACCUGCGCGAAACAACGGUGACGAGAAAAGCGUGGCAACGGAAUAUCGCUAGACACACGCGUCUGUAUACACACAGUGCCGUGGAAACCUAGUCGCGUAUCAUUAUCUCAUCUCUUGGUGUCCUAGUUUCUGCAAAGUGCCUGCUACUGAUACUGUUGUAGCCUUCUUUACUCCAGACACUGUUGAUUAAACGAAAGAAGCGUAACCGGGCAACCAACUGAUCGUAAAACAAAAAAAAAAAAAGAAAUAAAGAGAAAUAUUUGAAUGAAAUUGGAAAAAGGAGAAGAAAAGAGAGAGAAAGAGAGUGGAGCAAGGAAAAGAGAGAAAGAGACUGGAGAAAGAGAAAUUUCAGUCAACUGUCACAGCGCCGGAUAUUGGUGAACGACGGGUGUGACCACUUGGGGCCCCCAUAGAGAGGGCCCCCAACCGGAAGAAGCCGCCAUAAGGCGGUCACAGUCUACCAGUGCGGUGACUUCUGCGAGAAGCUGAUUGGUCGUUGGCGCGGCCUUCGACGUCGCCUCUACGUAUUCCGAAUGUUGCGAAAGCCAAAAUGAAUUUGGCUCCGAUCGUCGGCUGCGUGCGUGUCUGAGAGAACUACUUUGAAAUAAUCCCUGAUACUUCGCUGUGGCUGUACGCGCGUGUAGCCGGAUUUUAAAUUUAACCCACCCGCGUUUCAUCGAUGUCGUUCGGGAGUCGAUUGGAAGACGAGCCAGAAUCUACCGAGGAAAUUAUCGCCAGCUUUCACAGCCACGAUCGCUUCGAAAUAAAAUUCCAUAUAAUAACGAUUCGCGUUAUCAUCGCUGAUUACUUUUCGUCAUUUUUACGACGAGAGUGUCGAUAAAAUACAGCUUGGAUUACUUUUGUCGCAAGAUUCAAUAACUACGGCUACUUGAAAAGUAAAAAGAUACAAACCAUAGGCAUGGAGCAGUUCGAGCAACUGCUAACGUGCGCGAUAUGUCUGGACCGGUACAGGAACCCGAAGCUUUUGCCAUGCCAGCACAGCUUCUGCAUGGAACCGUGCAUGGAUGGCCUCGUUGACUACGUGCGUCGACAAGUGAAAUGUCCAGAAUGUCGAGCGGAACAUCGUAUACCCUACCAGGGUGUACAGGCCUUCCCGACCAACGUGACCCUGCAAAGAUUCUUGGAAUUGCACAUCGAGAUCACUGGGGAGCUACCAGACCCGACCAGCGGUCAAACAAUGGAACGUUGCGGCGUUUGUUCGGAGAAGAGCUACUGCUCCCUCUGCGUCCACUGUGAGAAAAAGUGCUGCCCUGAAUGCAAGGACGCUCACAUGGAUAUCCUCAGGCGUGAAAUCACGCGCAUCAAUUCCCAGAUACGCAGGGGGCUGCACAGGUUGCAGGACGCGCUGGCUUUGGUAGAGAAAAACACAUUGGGACUACAAACAAACUGUGCCUCGGUCGCGGAAGAGGUGGACGAGAUUUAUCGGAGGCUGAGCAAGGCUUUGAAAGACCGCACGGAACAUCUGCGUAACGAGGUCGAUCGAUACCUGGGCACAGAGCUCAGAGGCUUGAUUCAGCUCAAAGAGAAUCUGGAAUUGGAAAUCGCGAAUAUCCAGAGCAACUGCGAUUUGGCGGAGGCUCACAUCAAUGAAAACGUGCCAUGGGACGAUUCCGAACUCCUCGAUACAAAAGAGCUUUUCCUGCGUACGGUGGAAUUCAUCAGGAACUUCGAGUACGAAGCCGGGGAUUACAGUCGGCGAGUGCGUUUUGUAAUGGCGCACGAUCCGAACCAACUGGUCCUCCAUGUAGCCGGUUACGGCGAACUGAAUAUCAAGCCAGAAACCGGAAGCGGAGGAUUGCUGGGUAGCUCGAGCAGUCUAGCACCUCCCGGAGGAUCACCGGGUCUCAUGAGAAGCAAAAGCGACCAUCGUCUGGCUUCGCAAUACCGGCAGCAAGAGGAAGAGCGACUGGCGAGAAAUCGAUACGUACCCGAAUACGAGUACGAUGCACCAGAAUACGAAGUGCCGAGGAACAAAUCGAGAUACAGAAGUCGAUUUAUGCGACACCGGGACGGGGACGAUUCGGAUGGCGACUCGAGGUCGACCGUGAGGUUUACGUCGACGCCACAGGAGCCCUCGGGACUUCGUGAACGUGUCCUGGACACAGAAGACGCGGCACGCGGGCCACUUUCCGGGAUUUUUCGACUCACAGACUCGCCGCGUAUUAUGAAGAAGCUUCAAGAAUACGAGAGAGCCGGAAAAAGAAAGAAGGAGGAACCGGUGUCACAUCCUGCUCAACAACCUCAACCACCAAAACCUCAGGUCCAAGUCAGAAAAGUGCCGACAGCGAUGGCGAGACAAACCAGCGAGGAUGACGAGAUUUCUAGGAUUAAAAAGCAGAACAAAACGGCGGCCACACCUGCGACUGAAACGCUGGAAGAACGACAACCAGUAUCCACACCUACACCUGUUCAUCCACCUCCAAGGGAACAGUCUGAACGAGAACCGGAGGAACCUGCACGAAGACCGAUGCCCGCGAGGAGAACUUCCACGGAUACCCACACUCCUGCGACGAGAAGCGCUUCAUCAGACUCGAGCACGGGCUCCGAGAGCUCAGGAGGAUCAGGAAUCCGCAGCACGGGUGCACCAUUCACCGCCGAGGAAAUGAAGCAGAAAUACUUGUCGAGAGCACCGACGUCGAACGCAACAUCUACGAUCUCGUCGCCGCACAGCGGCACACCACCGACUGCCAAAGACACCGCCAACGCCUCUCCCACUUCGCGAUCCUUUCAGAGCCGUUUUUUAGGCGCAGGUAACCGUGCAGCCCCGCCGCCACCCACGCAACCACCCCCAGCGGCGCGAGAGGAAACGGCCAUAAAGAAGAAGGAGGAAGAAGAGGAGGACGACGAGGAAACUAGUAGUUCCUCGGAGGAGACGGAAUCCGAGACCGAGGAGGAAUCGGAAACCGAUGCACAUCCGUCGGGCACGACGACCUCGACAACACCCUCGACCACUGCACAGGAUCGUCAGAGAAGCGAAUCCGCGAUGGCGAGGACAGAUAUCGGGCCUCUGCUCGCUCGAAGCGCAGAAGCUAGACGAGGUAGCAAGGAAGACUCUCCUACGACCAGGUAUUCGUCGCCGAGAGGAAGUCCCGCGCAUUCGGUGACGAGCCCGACAACUACGACGACCACGACGCCGACGGGCGGCGCCGCGACAACGCCGGCCGGCUACACCAGCAGGACGUUUAGUGACGAACACGAUGAACCGUCAAACACCGAUCGUGUCGAGGAUUACGAAAUCGCGGCUAAGAACGCGGAUUACGAUAUUGUCGGUGCAGACGGAUCGAUGGUUAAACCGCAGUCGAACAAACGAACCUAUAUACCGGACGAUAGUACGGACACCGACGAAACGAUCACCUCAUCCUCCUCCUCCUCCGCCACUAGAUUCAAAAGUCUCGAAGGUAACGGUAACGAUAGUCGAGUAGAGAACCGCAGCGAGGUCAACGAAGACGCGUUAAUGGAAGGUCGUUCGGGGAACGACGUGAACUCUUCGUUAUCCGCUUGGACCGACCGACGAGCGUCGCUCGUUCAACCAGCUACAAUUCGAGAUAAUGGAUACCAGCCAGAUAAGACUGCGAGUUCCAAUGGAUCUCUGGAAACCUCGCGAGAGACGGCCAUCAACGGUGACGGAAGGAAAUACGCGAAUGGAUCGAGCGAUAAAUCCAACAACGUGGAAUCGAGUUCGGAGAGCGAAUCCGAGAGCAGCACGGAGAGCGCCACUGACAGCGACUCUGAAAGAGACGAGGAAGAGGACAAAGAAUCCAGAGACGAGAAUAGUAACAUAAUGAAUAAAAAGACUGAAAACCCGGAGCAAGGUCGAGCCUCGGAUAUCCAACACCUGAACGAUACCAACAGUGAGGAUGAAUCGAACAGUUCGGAGACCGACGACCAGACUACCGUAUUAAGCGUACCGUCCAACUCUCAUUCCGAAAAUAGUUACACCGUUCUGGAACGAUACGACGAUAGAAGCACGAAGCGGCGAAGCUCCUCGAUACUCGAUGACAAAAGUAUCGAGGAAUUGUUCGACGACAACGGAUGGGUGAUUACUGAUCAGGAUCUGCAGGCAGAAAAACCUCGGAGAAUCACGAAAGGUUUCAAGUCGAUGGAUCGCAAUGACUCGGGCAUAAACAACGAAAACACCGACAAUGAAUCAUCCUCGAACGACGAGAAAAGUAACGUUCUGGAUAGCGAUACGAUCGACAAGGAGGAUAACGAAAGGACUGAAAACGAGAACGCGUUAAACGUAUCCGAAUCGUCUGAAAGUUUAUCGAGAAGUCGAGCGUAUAGACAAAGUAGCAUUGGCAAGAACGGUUGGCUAGUGUCGGACGAAUCCGAGACUGAAUCUGACAGAGCCACUUCACCCGUGGAAAAUUCUACGAUCCGAACUGAGACCGAUACGACAGAGGCGUCGAAGAAUGUAGCGAGUAUCGAGGAUGAGAGAAUGAAUGACGAUGACGCGUCAACACCGACGUCGACCACGGUGAACGAGAAAAAAUCUGAAAGUGGCAAAGAUUCGAUCGUGGCCGACAGCGUCGACGAGAACGGUUGGGUGAUCCUAAACAAGGUGAACAACUCGUCUACGGGGAAAAAUAUCGAGGGCGGAAGCAUGGACGAGACGAGCACGAUUCGUUCCCAAACGACCGACCUCGUAGCGAGAUCUAACAUUGAGAACGGUGCAUUAGUCGCGAACGCUACCCAAUCCAAAGAGACCGAGACUUGCAACGAGCACGAGGACACGCCUGGUGUCGAUAUCACUAUACCGAUGCAAAUGGUUCCUGAACAAGAGCAGAAGCCAGGCGGCGAUGAUGGCGAGCCGGGAACGAGAACGGGAGCGCGAAAGAGAACGAGAACGCGAACGAGAACGCGAAAGGGAAAGAGAACGGGAGAGAGAACGCGAACGAGACGCGGACACGGAGGUCGAUUCGCCGUUGUCGACGAGGUCACGGUACGCCGCGUUGAAAGAGAGAAGACAACGGCUGGCUCGGUCCAGAAGCUCGCACAACUUCGGCGGAGAUGACCUCGACCUCGACGAAGAGCCACCCUCUCCGACGACCCAGUCGCCGAACGCUUACUUGGCUGCCAAGUACGGAGCCGGAUCUGAACUGGCCAGAAGUCGGAGUACUCACGCCUUAAAGUCGAGAGAACCGAGUCCGGAGCGUGAUAGGGUUGGCACAGAGAAGGAUGGCGCAGCUUUGAGUUCGUGGGCACGAUACUUGAAGAACAAAUACGGGAAUCGCACCACCAAAGACAAGGAGCCCUCGUCCUCCGCCUCGACGAUUCCAUCAUCGAGUGGAAGCACUACCUCGAGGAGAUUAUCGCUGGGACUACCUUUGAGGCACGGUGGUCAAACAUCCUUCGAAUCUUCUGACGACGAU